rnacentral:rRNA from 1 species
AAGUGCAAUCAUACCAGCGUUAAUUCAACAUAUCCCAUCAGAGCUCCGCAUUUAAGCGCGCUUGGGCUAGAGUAGUACCGGGAUGGGUGACCUUCUGGUAAGUCCUAUUGUUGCACCCU